AAAGGAUGAUUGGAUCUCAAAAUAUGAAAGACCCUUCAUUCAAUAAAGCAACAGGAUUGGCUCUGAGGAGAGGAAAGAGCCAGCAUGGACAGUAUUCAAGACACAAUGUUCAAAAGUUGCUGCUGGGAUGGAAGCAAAGAAGAAAGCCCUGGAGACAGGUUAGUGCUGGGACACAGACACUAUCCUGGAGGGGCCUGGGACAGGGUGUGUAACCAUAGCGACCAGCGGGUCCUUUCCCCACUGUGGUCCUGGCUCGCAUGCACAGGGUGAAACCGAUCGCCGUGUUUGGGGUCGGGAAGGAAUUUUCCUCCAGGGCAGAUUGGCCAGAGACCCUGGAGGUUUUUCGCCUUCCUCUGGGGCAUCGAGCAGGGACCAGCCCUUAGGGCCAUUUAGGAACAGACAUAAUAAAAUCCAUCAGAGAGAA